rnacentral:rRNA from 1 species
AGUUUGAUUCUGGCUCAGGAUGAACGCUAGCGACAGGCCUAACACAUGCAAGUCGAGGGGCAGCGCGGGAGAAGCUUGCUUUCCUGGCGGCGACCGGCGCACGGGUGCGUAACAGGUGUGCAAUCUGUCCAUAGUCGGGGGAUAGCCCAGCGAAAGCUGAAUUAAUACUCCAUGUGAAUCGAAGCCGCAUGACUUUGAUUUGAAACGCAAGGACUAUGGGUGAGCACGCUUCUGAUUAGGUAGUUGGUGGGGUAACGGCCCACCAAGCCGACGAUCAGUAGGGUUCUGAGAGGAAGGUCCCCCACAUUGGAACUGAGACACGGUCCAAACUCCUACGGGAGGCAGCAGUGAGGAAUAUUGGUCAAUGGGCGAGAGCCUGAACCAGCCAAGUCGCGUGAAGGAUGAAGGUUCUAUGGAUUGUAAACUUCUUUUGUCCGAGGGUAAAAAAGGCCACGUGUGGCUUCUUGCAAGUAUCGGACGAAUAAGCAUCGGCUAACUCCGUGCCAGCCGCCGC